AGUGAACGCUGGCGGCGUGCCUAAUACAUGCAAGUCGAACGCAGUGGGGACGGGUGCGUAACACGUGGGUAACCUCCCGUCAGAGGGGAUAACACUUGGAAAAAGGUGCUAAACCGAUACUGAUGGAUGGACCCGCGGUGCAUUAGCUAGUUGGUGAGGUAACGACGCACCAAGGCCACGAUGCAUAGCCGGCCUGAGAGGGUGAUCAGCCAAACUGGGACUGAGACACGGCCCAGACUCCUACGGGAGGCAGCAGUAGGGAAUCUUGGACAAUGGACGAAAGUCUGAUCGAGCAAUGCCGCGUGAGUGAAGAAGGUUUUCGGAGUGUAAAGCACUGUUGUUAGGGAGGCGGUAUCUAAAGAAGAAGCAACGGCUAACUACGUGCCAGCAGCCGCGGUAAUAC
rnacentral:rRNA from 1 species